UCAGCCUGUGCAUUGAAAUGG
rnacentral:piRNA from 1 species